rnacentral:lncRNA from 1 species
GAUCAGAAUAAUGAGAAUGGGCAUCGAGCUCAAGAUCAAGACAAGUGAACAUAAUCAUCCUUGUCCUUGAUCGAAGGGUCUGGUCCGAGUGGAAGAUGCUAGGAGAUGGAAUGCAAUGCACUGGAUAAAGCUGGCUCACUGGAUACAGAGGGCUUGGACUGAAGCUGAGUCCUAACGGCAUCUAGUUGGGACAAGAUCCCCCUCACAAAAACUCGGAGCCCA